UACGUAGGGGGCAAGCGUUAUCCGGAUUUACUGGGUGUAAAGGGAGCUUAGGUGGUUCGGUAAGUCAGAUGUGAAAGCCCGGGGCUCAACCCCGGGACUGCAUUUGAAACUAUCGAACUAGAGUGCAGGAGAGGUAAGUGGAAUUCCUAGUGUAGCGGUGAAAUGCGUAGAUAUUAGGAGGAACACCAGUGGCGAAGGCGGCUUACGGGACUGUAAUUGACAAUGAGGCUCGAAAGCGUGGGGAGCAAACAGG
rnacentral:rRNA from 1 species